rnacentral:lncRNA from 1 species
UCAGAGUUUAGAGCAGAGAAAGAUUUAUCGCAAGGGCCAAGUGAGGAGGCUGAGCAGCUCAUGCUCGAAAGACCUGAACUCCCUGAUAGGUUUCAGGGAAGAGUUCUUAAACGCAGAUUUAAGGGGAGGGCUGCAAGGUGUAUGUGUGACUUUCUUCUAAUUGGUUGGUGGAGAGGUACCGGGGUAGUGCUCCAGGAAGCUCAACCAUCAGCCUUCUGGUCCGCAUGCUUGUGCUCAUCCUAAAGUUACAUCCUCCACCAGGGUGGAGGCCUUAGUUCUUGUAGAAGAGCUCAGAGAUCAGUAUCGGGUUGUGAAUAUCGCUUCCGAGAGAACUAGGACUCUGCCACACCAUCAUUUCUUGACUGAUUUUCCUUUGUUUCCCUAAUUAGUAACUGUUUGAAUCUGCCCUUUGGAACUCAGGAAGGUCUGGGAGGCUCAGGCCUUUUUCCUACAAAGGAGAAACAGGGGACACAGGAAAGGCUUUUAUAGCAGGGAGAGCCCCUGCAGGUUCUGCUUGGUUUCAGUAAUAUAGGACUGUUUUUAUUUUAAGUAUUCAAUGAAAAGAAGUAUCUUCUGCCCUAAACCCUAUCGUAUUGCUGCAUCUUCCCUACAUCACAGAAAGCCUCUAGAUGUGGUGAACUCUUGCCUUGAGUGAGAGCACACAUCAUCACCUUUCUGAUUAAUUUCUGUUAUAUUUCAACAUAAAGAAGCUUUUGCAUGAGCCUGGAAUGUUUGCAGACUUAAUCCACAUAGAAAAUGAUAUGAGGCCCCUGCCUGCGUUGGCUGUCCCUGAGUAGCUUUCAAAGUCAGACCCCAAAAAAAUUCAGAGAGGUGACUGCCAAUGAUUGCCAGUUUCACAGGCAAAAGUGGAUUCCACGUGUUUACAAUACCUCUUUGUAACCCUUGAGCACAAUUAGAGGAGGUGUAUACAUGUUUUUCCAAGUCCUACAGAGGCCAGACGAUUAUAUCUCUUGCCUAUCCAGAGAUCUUGAUUGAAAAUUCAGUGUUGAUAGAUGAGUAUACUAGAUUUCCCAAAUAAAGCCCAGGCGAUCCUGUUUUGCACCCCAAGUAGUUAACCUCUCUUUCCUUUUGCUGUGGGUUUUGCAGGACUCAAAUAAAUCAGAGCUGGGGUGAUGCAUUUUUAAGAUUUUGUCAUUUCCCAGAAAAGGCAUGAGUUUCAAUCCACACACAAAGAGUAAAAAUGGAGGUCACUCUUUUUUGUGAGUUUAUUGAGAUAUUGCCUAAGAAUUAUAUAGAAAAACUCCAAAGUGUAAUUAUAAUAACUUGACUGGAUUAUAUGCCUUCUUAAGUUUAUUCUUUUUCUUUUUUUGGCCAUGCCCAUAACAUGCGAAAUUUCCCAGCAAAAGUAUUCUUAAAUGGUAAAAUAUGAUGUAAAUGAAAAUUGUUAUGUAUAGUAAUAACAUAAUUUGCAUUACAAGCUGCUCUGCAUCACCAACCUAUGUUGGCAGCCAUAGCCAUCAAAUUGUUUAUUUGAAAACUAAACAAAGUGAAUACUCAGAAUUCUCUUUCGAGAGUUUACUCAGAAAAUGAGCAGAAAAAUCUGUAAUGUGAAAAUGACAUUUGAGACAAUGGGUAAGUGGAAUCAUUCUUCAUUUUACAAUUAUCCAUUGAUUUACCUUUCCCUUAAAAUAAGGUUGUUUUCACGAGAGUAGGUCUCUGCAGCAUAAUAUGGAUGAGGGGUUAGAACUGGACACAGUUUAUUAUCCACUCUGCGAAUUUACUGAUUCCAAGAUUUGACAAUGUCCUCUUGGGUUUUCUCUGAGCAACCCCUUCUCAGCUCAUGCUCUUGGCUACUACAACCAUUUAACUUAUAGAAAGCAUUCUCAGGAGUUCCUGAGAACCCCACUAGGAUCUGUGAGGACAGUGGUUCGAUCCCUGGCCUCGCUCAGUGGGUCAAGGAUCCAGCAUUGCCAUGAGCUGUGGUGUAGGUCACACAUGCAGCUUGGAUCCUUCAUUGCUGUGGAUGUGGGGUAGGCCAGCAGCUGCAGCUCCCAUUAGAACCCUAGCCUGGGAACUUCCAUAAGCCGUGGGUGCAGCCAUAAAAAGACAAAACAAAACAAAACGGCAUUCUCAGGAGGAGGGCAGUGAUGUCCCCAAGUGGACCAAAUUUGACUUUUGUUGGGGAGGGAAAAAACUCUUGAAUACUAUAGUGGUUUGUGGUCUUCUGAAGGCCACAGUACAUUAACACAUAUCUGGUAUAUUUAUGGUGUUAAAAUUGCAUGGGUGGGGGUGAUUUCAGAAAAGUCUCAAAGGACUGCUUAGGGGCUGAAUACUAUUUUUUUAAGUAGAAAAAUAUGGCAGAUGUGGAUCUGGUGAUUUGUCUCAUAUUAUUCUCAACUGCUAGGGCCUGAUAUGCAUUGGGAUUCAUAUAUGCUGCAAAACGUUUAUUGUAGUGAAAUAAUAAAAUCAUUUUAGUUAGGUGUCGUAUCCAAAUGUCUCCUCAUCAAAGAUAAGAAAACUAUUUCCUGUCCCUUAUCUAUAGCCUUUUAUAGAAAAUUGCAGGCAUGUUUAUAAUUCCGAAGCUAGAAGCUUAGUUACACUUUUUCCCUGAUCCCUAAACUCUUGUCACUAAGUUUCAGUCACUAAGUUUAAUUUGGGAAAUGUGUUCUAUUCUCUGAUGUCCUUUUAUUGUGGCGGCCACGGAUGGAGGAAAUAAAAGGAACAGAAAUGGCAAUACUUUCCUAAUUGGGGUGUGAUAACCUUGGAAGAGAACUUAGACUUUGAAUGGCUUUUCUUUAUGGUUAUUUACUGUAGUCCAUGGAACUAGUACCAAACAGUACCAAACUAAUACCAAACAGGUAAUGGUUAAGUGUGCUGCAAGAGUAUUUGACAUUAGCAUUUUCAAGCCUGGCUGUGCUGUGAGAGUUACUUGGAAAGCUUUUAAAAACAGAUUCUUGGUCCCCAACCUCAGGGAGACUAAUCUCCCUAGUCUGUGGAAGAGCCUAGAAAUCCAUGGCUUUCAGGGUGCCCCAGGUGAGCACACAGACAGGGUCGUGGACCUCUGCUCUGUGCUCUAAACAGCCAUCAUUCUUCACUGAUGACAUCACCUGCUAUGCACACUGGACUUUACUCACACCAAAAGCUUUUUAAAUUGCAGUCUCUCCUUUAGUAGCCCUCCAUCUACAGAAGUAUAGUUUGCAGAAUUUGUCAUUUUGAAAAUGAUAAUAAUAGCUGAUAUCCAUUCAGUCCUUGCCUACUCUAAGCAUUUUUUAAAAUGAUUUUUAUUUUUCCGUUAUAAUUGAUUAAUAGUGUUCUGUUGAUAGUCUACUGUACAGCAAAGUGACCCAGUCACACAUGCAAAUAUAUAUUCUUUUUCUCAUAUCGUCCUCCAUCAGGCUCCAUCACACGUGGCUAGAUAUUGUUCCCAGUGCUACACAGCAGGAUCUCAUUGCUCAUCCUCAGCAUUUUUUGGAUAAGGUGACUUCUUUUAUUUUUAGUCUUUUUAGGCCACACCCACAGCAUAUAGACGUUCCCAGGCUUGGGGUAGAAUCAGAGCUGUAGCUGCUAUCCUACACCAUAGCCACAGGAACACCAAAUUAGAGCCACAUUUGCAAUCUACACCACAGCUCACGGCAAUGCUGGACACUUAAAACCCGCUGAGCGAGGUCAGGGAUCAAACCUGUGUCCUCAUGGAUACUAGUCAGGUUUGUUACCACUGAGCCACAAAUGGAACUCCCUAAGUUGACUUCUUUAAUUCGCAAAUUUAUUUCAUUCUCACAGAUAAGUAUAAAUUAUCAUUAUUUCCAUUUUCAGUAGAGGGAAAUCAGGAGGAAAGACUUAUGUGGGAUUUAAACGUGGGCAUUAUGAUUGCAUGGGUUAUAACCAUUAAUUGUUACAAUUAAUGUUAUAAGGAAUAAUUUUAGUUGAUCUUAAUAAAAAUAACAUAGUGAUUUUUAAGAAAUUAAGUGCACAAGCUAUGCACCAUUUUUAUAAGAAAUGCUUGUGGUUUUUGUUGAUUCCAUUUAACUGUUUUGUCAAAGGUGAAAAAUCUUACUAGUCUUUGGGAAAACUAUUGAGAAUUGUUUUGAGAACUUUGUCAUUAAAAAUAACAUCUUUUUUUUUUAAUUGUUUUUUCCCCCAAUACACUUUUUUUUCCCCACUGUACAGCAUGGGGAUCCAGUUACACAUACAUGUAUACAUAACAUAAUUUUUUCUCCCAUUGUUGUGCUCCAUUGUAAGUAUCUAGACAUAGUUCUCAGUGCUACACAGCAGGAUCUCAGUGUUUAUCCAUGUCAAAAGCAAUAGUUUGCAUCCCUUAACCCCAAGCUCCCAAUCCCUCCCACUCCCUCCCCCUCCUCCC